UCCCUGGUAGUAUAUCGGUUAGUACACGCGCCUGUCAUGUCCAUAUCUAGCCAAGCUGUUACGCGCGAAAGCUGGGUUCGACUCCCAGCCAGGGAG